CCCCACCUAACCUAAUCAAUUGAUUCCUUUGCUUUCACCCCCUUCAACUUCAUGUUUCCUUUUCCAUACCCAAACUAAAUACCCACCAAAAAGAAAAAACACCCCUUUCAAUGGCAGCAACAAUGGCGAAUCUUGACGAGUCCUGACACCAGUUGUGUUGGCCACGGGUGGUGGUUCGAUCCUUUUCUCCCGUCUCUUUCCAUGGUGCAAACGAUCGAGUGCGAAACGCUGUUUCAGACGUUUCCACUCUUAUCGUUCCUUACAAUAAAGAGAUCUUCCGACGACGGUUUUGACGUAAGAGACAAGAUUGAGAAGAGGCCGACGACAUCAUCUAUAUUUGAUGGUAAAUUAUUGCGGUCUAAGUUCAGUGAUGGUUUUACUUGUGUGGACAGCUUCUUUGCUUCUGUUGCCACUGGUGGUGCCGCCGCUUCCUCCACCACCGUUGGCAGUUCUCGGGCUGCCGGUUUUGAUAUUGGGUGUUUUGUUGUUCUUGGCUUUCUCUUCUUCUCAUCGGGUCCCUAACACUGUCAUGAUUAUUUGCUGCUGAAGACGACGUUGUAAUUAAUCUGUAAAUUUUGAAUACUAUACAGUGUUGAUAUAUAUAUCAUAUAUUAACCAUGCAGAGAGAACUAUUGAGGAGAAAAUUUCUGGAUUAAGCUAGACUGUUGAUGAAUUACGAGAUCUUCAACGAGAGCGAGAAGGAGAGAAGAUCCACUACACAUCGCCUGCGAAAUAUCAAAUCUGUGUUAGGCUACAGAUCGCCGGAAAAGAGGGAUAUACAUAUAUACCGUUUUGGGCUACAGACCACUGACGAAGGGAAGAUACACACUACCGAUGAGAGGAAAAAAUUUUGGGCUACACACCGUUGGCGGGAGGGGAAGUACACUAUCAAUGAGAAGGUGGGUUGAGGGUUUCUGGGAGAAGAAAGUUAUUUUGUGAGAAGAGGGAAUAAAUUAAAGUUAGGAGAAAAUGGAGGAGAAUUUUAGUAAAAUGAAAACAGAAUGGGUAUUUUUGGGGUUAGAGUUAUGGUUAAUUUUUUAAAAUUUUUAUUUACUUAUAACUUUGGCUAGGAGGGAAACAAAAUUUGAAAAGAAAGUUGAUUAGAUUUAUCUUUAAUGUCGGGUUUUAAAGAAAGGUAACUUUAAUGUCGGUCUAAAAUCGACAUUUGAUCCUCAUUUUUUUAUGUCGGUCUAAAACUGACAACGUAAACCAAAUUUGUUGUAUUGUCUCUUGGUUCCAUCGUGUAGGGUUUACCCAUUUUAAUAAUUUAGUUUGAAAUUCUAUUC